CCUACGUGAGUCCGCAGUGAGGAAUAUUGGUCAAUGGGCGCGAGCCUGAACCAGCCAAAUAGCGUGAAUGAUGACUGCCCUACGGGUUGUAAACUUCUUUUAUAAAGGAAUAAAGUGAGGCACGUGUGCCUUUUUGUAUGUACUUUAUGACUCAGGAUCGGCUAACUCCGUGCCAGCAGCCGCGGUAAUACGGAGGAUCCGAGCGUUCGCCGGAUUUAUUGGGUUUAAAGGGAGCGUAGAUGGGUUGUUAAGUCAGUUGUGAAAGUUUGCGGCUCAACCGUAAAAUUGCAAUUGAUACUGGCAGCCUUGAGUACAGUUGAGGUAGGCGGAAUUCGUGGUGUAGCGGUGAAAUGCUUAGAUAUCACGAAGAACUCCGAUUGCGAAGGCAGCCUACUAAACUGCCACUGACAUUGAUGCUCGAAAGUGUGGGUAUCAAACAGGAUUAGAUACCCGAGUAGUC
rnacentral:rRNA from 1 species